GCUAGCAGUGAUACCUGCACCGCGCCCCCAUUUAAAGCGCUAGCAGUGAUACCUGCGCCCCCACAUUUAAAGCGCUAGCAGUGAUACCUGCGCCCAUGAUAAAAAUAUAGCAAGCGCUAGCAGUGAUACCUGCGCCCCCAAAUUUAAAGCGCUAGCAGCUAUACCUGCGCCUCAAUCCCACACUUAAAAAAAAAAAAAUAUAUGCUUACUUUAUAUACAAAUAUACUCAACUUAAAUGAAAAAUGAUAUACAUAGUUAAGCAUAUGUUAUUAAUGUGAACACGCUAUUAACGAAAAAGAGCCACAUGGCAUAAAAACAAAAAAAAAAGCGAAAGUGAAAAAAAAAAUAUACAUAUUAAUAUAAAAAAAAAAAGUUCGCAAUUUCUCACGAGGCGUCUUGGCAAGCGGCAGCAACAUCAACGGAGGAUAACGGCAGCAGCAUCACCGGCGCAGCACAGCAAAACACCGGCGCGGCACAGCACAAAA